GAUGAACGCUGGCGGCGUGCUUAACACAUGCAAGUCGAACGAGAAGUGAAGACGGAAACCUUCGGGCGGAAGGCUUUAUUUCGAGUGGCGGCCGGGUGAGUAACGCGUGGGUAACCUGCCUCAUACAGGGGGAUCACAGUUUGAAACGACUGUUAAUACCGCAUAAGACCACAGCACCGCAUGGUGCGGGGGUGAAAACUCCGGUGGUAUGAGAUGGACCCGCGUUCGAUUAGCCAGUUGGAGGGGUAACGGCACACCAAAGCGACGAUCGAUAGCCGAACUGAGAGGAUGACCGGCCACAUUGGGACUGAGACACGGCCCGAACUCCUACGGGAGGCAGCAGUGGGGAAUAGUGCACAAUGGGGGAAACCCUGAUGCAGCGACGCCGCGUGAGUGAAGAAGUAUUUCGGUAUGUAAAGCUCUAUCAGCAGGGAAGAAAAUGACGGUACCUGAGUAAGAAGCCCCGGCUAACUACGUG
rnacentral:rRNA from 1 species